rnacentral:rRNA from 1 species
GGGGGAUAACUACUGGAAACGGUAGCUAAUACCGCAUAACGUCGCAAGACCAAAGAGGGGGACCUUCGGGCCUCUUGCCAUCGGAUGUGCCCAGAUGGGAUUAGCUUGUAGGUGAGGUAACGGCUCACCUAGGCGACGAUCCCUAGCUGGUCUGAGAGGAUGACCAGCCACACUGGAACUGAGACACGGUCCAGACUCCUACGGGAGGCAGCAGUGGGGAAUAUUGCACAAUGGGCGCAAGCCUGAUGCAGCCAUGCCGCGUGUAUGAAGAAGGCCUUCGGGUUGUAAAGUACUUUCAGCGGGGAGGAAGGGAGUGAGGUUAAUAACCUCAUUCAUUGACGUUACCCGCAGAAGAAGCACCGGCUGACUCCGUGCCAGCAGCCGCGGUAAUACGGAGGGUGCGAGCGUUAAUCGGAAUUACUGGGCGUAAAGCGCACGCAGGCGGUCUGUCAAGUCGGAUGUGAAAUCCCCGGGCUCAACCUGGGAACUGCAUUCGAAACUGGCAGGCUGGAGUCUUGUAGAGGGGGGUAGAAUUCCAGGUGUAGCGGUGAAAUGCGUAGAGAUCUGGAGGAAUACCGGUGGCGAAGGCGGCCCCCUGGACAAAGACUGACGCUCAGGUGCGAAAGCGUGGGGAGCAAACAGGAUUAGAUACCCUGGUAGUCCACGCUGUAAACGAUGUCGACUUGGAGGUUGUUCCCUUGAGGAGUGGCUUCCGGAGCUAACG